GACGAACGCUGGCGGCGUGCUUAACACAUGCAAGUCGAACGGAAAGGCCCUGCUUUUGUGGGGUGCUCGAGUGGCGAACGGGUGAGUAACACGUGAGUAACCUGCCCUUGACUUUGGGAUAACUUCAGGAAACUGGGGCUAAUAUCGGAUAGGAGCUCCUGCUGCAUGGUGGGGGUUGGAAAGUUUCGGCGGUUGGGGAUGGACUCGCGGCUUAUCAGCUUGUUGGUGGGGUAGUGGCUUACCAAGGCUUUGACGGGUGGCCGGCCUGAGAGGGUGACCGGCCACAAUGGGACUGAGGUACGGACCAGACUCCUACGGGAGGCAACAGUGGGGAAUAUUGCACAAUGGGCGGGAGCCUGAUGCGACAACGCCGCGUGCGGGAUGACGGCCUUCGGGUUGUGAACCGCUUUCGCCUGUGACGAAGCGUGAGUGACGGUAAUGGGUAAAGAAGCACCGGCUAACUACGUG
rnacentral:rRNA from 1 species